CGUGAAAUUGUUGAAAGGGAAGCGUUUAUGACCAGACCUGGGCUUGGUUAAUCAUCUGGGGUUCUCCCCAGUGCACUUUUCCAGUCCAGGCCAGCAUCAGUUUUCCCCGGGGGAUAAAGGCGGCGGGAAUGUGGCUCUCUUCGGGGAGUGUUAUAGCCCGUCGUGUAAUUCCCUGGGGGGGACUGAGGUUCGCGCAUCUGCAAGGAUGCUGGCGUAAUGGUCAUCAACGACCCGUCUUGAAACACGG
rnacentral:rRNA from 1 species